rnacentral:rRNA from 1 species
AUUGAACGCUGGCGGCAUGAUUUACACAUGCAAGUCGAACGGUAACAGGCCGCAAGGUGCUGACGAGUGGCGAACGGGUUAGUAAUGCAUCGGAACGUGCCCAGUCGUGGGGGAUAACUACUCGAAAGAGUAGCUAAUACCGCAUACGAUCUAUGGAUGAAAGCGGGGGACCGUAAGGCCUCGCGCGAUUGGAGCGGCCGAUGUCAGAUUAGGUAGUUGGUGGGGUAAAGGCUCACCAAGCCAACGAUCUGUAGCUGGUCUGAGAGGACGACCAGCCACACUGGGACUGAGACACGGCCCAGACUCCUACGGGAGGCAGCAGUGGGGAAUUUUGGACAAUGGGCGCAAGCCUGAUCCAGCAAUGCCGCGUGCAGGAAGAAGGCCUUCGGGUUGUAAACUGCUUUUGUACGGAACGAAACGGCUCUGGUUAAUACCCGGGGCUAAUGACGGUACCGUAAGAAUAAGCACCGGCUAACUACGUG